rnacentral:rRNA from 1 species
CCAACUAGCUCCCUCUUCCUCCCCCAUGCUCAAGCCCCCACCUCCCCACCCGCGACCCGACCAAUCCUCCCCCCUUCUCCGCUGCGGCGCGGCCCUCCCGAGCCGCCGCACUACCUUCUCCGGCCAGAGCCGCCGCCCGACCCUUUCCACCUUCCUACCUUCGACAGCUACCUACCACCGGCACCCGACCAACCUCCAGCGCCACCGCGAGCCACCGCCGCUUUCCUCCUACAACGCAGAUGCCCCCUCCCCUACCUAGCGUGUCGUCGGCGGUCAGAUCCUAGAGCCCCGUGCUGGCUACCUCCCGGCGAGGCCUCCUCCACCAGAUCCGGCCGCCAUGGCAUCGGUGCGGCCACAAACCGAUCCAGCCAUCAACCACCGCCCACCUACACUGCCCCUUUCUUCCCGUCAUUUAAUCCCCGCGGAUCUGGCCCGUGCUGCUGUGCACUGCCCGGCGAUGGAUGGAGCCCCACCUCCUCUGCAGUUCGGUGGGAUCUUGGUGGUGCUCAUCAGCGAGACCUCGGCCUCGACCUCAACCAGGAGAUGCUCCCCGGCGCACCGGCCUCCCCCCACCAAGCCUCGCCCCUCGUCUACCUCGCGGCGGCCCACGCGGGUGCAGUUCGCCCCCUGCUUCCCGACAUGGUUAGGUUGCACUGGCGCUGCAGUGCGGUUCCCACGCGCGUGUUGUUUGAGCCGCGCUGCAGUGCGGUUCCCACGCGCGUGCUGUUUGAGCCGCCCCUCUCCAGUGCGGCUAGCCUCUCCCCCGCAAUAGUUUGGAAGAAGUCAGGGGCAUGGUGUGCAGUUCGAUGGAGCACGCCAUGGAAUUCAACAACCGCAGGUCAGGUACGACUGCCCCUUGCCUCAAACGAGGGAACGGCCAUGGCCUCCUCCUUUCUUCGUCGUCGUAGGUGCAGGCCACCGCAAAAACCGACCCGCGACCCCCUCCACUCCUCCUCUCCCUGA